rnacentral:rRNA from 1 species
CUACGGGGCGCUGCAGUGAGGAAUAUUGCACAAUGGGGGAAACCCUGAUGCAGCAACGCCGCGUGGAGGAUGACGCAUUUCGGUGUGUAAACUCCUUUUAUAUGUCAAGAAAAUGACGGUAGCAUAUGAAUAAGCACCGGCUAACUCCGUGCCAGCAGCCGCGGUAAUACGGAGGGUGCAAGCGUUAUUCGGAAUCACUGGGCGUAAAGGACGCGUAGGCGGGUUUGCAAGUCAGGUGUGAAAUCCUAUGGCUCAACCAUAGAACUGCACUUGAAACUGCGAACCUAGAGUAUGGAAGGGGCAGAUGGAAUUAGUGGUGUAGGGGUAAAAUCCGUAGAUAUCACUAGGAAUACCAAAAGCGAAGGCGGUCUGCUGGGACAUUACUGACGCUAAGGCGUGAAAGCGUGGGGAGCAAACAGGAUUAGAUACCCCAGUAGUC